rnacentral:rRNA from 1 species
UACAGAGGUCUCGAGCGUUGUUCGGAUUCAUUGGGCGUAAAGGGUGCGUAGGCGGCGGGGUAAGUCUGAUGUGAAAGCCCGGAGCUCAACUCCGGAACUGCCAUUGAAACUGUUUAGCUUGAGGAUGAGAGAGGUGAGUGGAAUUCCCAGUGUAGAGGUGAAAUUCGUAGAUAUUCGGAAGAACACCAGUGGCGAAGGCGACUCACUGGCCCGAUACUGACGCUGAGGCGCGAAAAGCGUGGGGAGCAAACAGG